rnacentral:rRNA from 1 species
AGAGUUUGAUCCUGGCUCAGGACGAACGCUGGCGGCGCGCCUAACACAUGCAAGUCGAACGGAGAUGAUAAAAGCUUGCUUUGAUCAUCUUAGUGGCAGACGGGUGAGUAACACGUGAGCAACCUGCCUUUCAGAGGGGGAUAACGUUUGGAAACGAACGCUAAUACCGCAUAACGUAUACGGAUGGCAUCAACUGUAUACCAAAGGAGCAAUCCGCUGAAAGAUGGGCUCGCGUCCGAUUAGCUAGAUGGUGAGGUAACGGCCCACCAUGGCGACGAUCAGUAGCCGGACUGAGAGGUUGAACGGCCACAUUGGGACUGAGACACGGCCCAGACUCCUACGGGAGGCAGCAGUGAGGGAUAUUGCACAAUGGGGGAAACCCUGAUGCAGCAAUGCCGCGUGAAGGAUGACGGUUUUCGGAUUGUAAACUUCUGUUCCAGAUCAUGAAAAAAAUGACUAAUCUGGCAGCAAGCCACGGCUAACUACGUGCCAGCAGCCGCGGUAAUACGUAGGUGGCGAGCGUUAUCCGGAUUUACUGGGUGUAAAGGGUGCGUAGGCGGGAUAGCAAGUUGGAUGUGAAAUACCGAGGCUCAACUUCGGAGCUGCAUCCAAAACUGUUAUUCUUGAGUGGAGUAGAGGUAAGCGGAAUUCCGAGUGUAGCGGUGAAAUGCGUAGAUAUUCGGAGGAACACCGGUGGCGAAGGCGGCUUACUGGGCUCUAACUGACGCUGAGGCACGAAAGUAUGGGUAGCAAACAGGAUUAGAUACCCUGGUAGUCCAUACUGUAAACGAUGAUAGCUAAGGGUGGGGGGGUCCGACCCCCUUCCGUGGCGGAAUUAAC